GCUACUCCACGGAAGUUUGAGGCAAUAACAGGUCUGUGAUGCCCUUAGAUGUCCUGGGCCGCACGCGCGCUACACUGAUGCAGGCAGCAAGCACCGUGGCAGAUAUGUCUCGGAAAACUACAAACUGCAUCGUGCUGGGGAUUGACUCUUGGAAUUCUUGGUCAUAAACGAGGAAUACCUAGUAAACGCAAGUCAUCAGCUUGCAUUGAUUACGUCCCUGCCCUUUGUACACACCGCCCGUCGCUCCUACCGAUUUGAGUGGUGCGGUGAACCCUUCGGACCGGUACGCCGGAAAGUUGAGUAAACCUUACCACUUAGAGGAAGGAGAAGUCGUAACAAGGUAUCUGUAGGUGAAC
rnacentral:rRNA from 1 species